rnacentral:rRNA from 1 species
UACGAAGGGUGCAAGCGUUUAUCGGAAUUACUGGGCGUAAAGGGUGCGUAGGCGGUUCGUUAAGUCUGUCGUGAAAUCCCCGGGCUCAACCUGGGAAUGGCGAUGGAUACUGGCGAGCUAGAGUGUGUCAGAGGAUGGUGGAAUUCCCGGUGUAGCGGUGAAAUGCGUAGAGAUCGGGAGGAACAUCAGUGGCGAAGGCGGCCAUCUGGGACAACACUGACGCUGAAGCACGAAAGCGUGGGGAGCAAACAGG